GACGAACGCUGGCGGCGUGCCUAACACAUGCAAGUCGAGCGAUGAAGUUUCCUUCGGGAAAUGGAUUAGCGGCGGACGGGUGAGUAACACGUGGGUAACCUGCCUCAUAGAGGGGAAUAGCCUCCCGAAAGGGAGAUUAAUACCGCAUAAUAUUACAGUUUCGCAUGAAACAGUAAUUAAAGGAGCAAUCCGCUAUGAGAUGGACCCGCGGCGCAUUAGCUAGUUGGUGAGGUAACGGCUCACCAAGGCGACGAUGCGUAGCCGACCUGAGAGGGUGAUCGGCCACAUUGGGACUGAGACACGGCCCAGACUCCUACGGGAGGCAGCAGUGGGGAAUAUUGCACAAUGAGGGAAACCCUGAUGCAGCAACGCCGCGUGAGUGAUGACGGUCUUCGGAUUGUAAAGCUCUGUCUUUGGGGACGAUAAUGACGGUACCCAAGGAGGAAGCCACGGCUAACUACGUGCCAGCCGCCGCCGUAACAC
rnacentral:rRNA from 1 species